rnacentral:lncRNA from 1 species
UGGUCAACAACAACAGAGCUAGUAUUUAUACCACUGAGAGAGACAGUGAGAAACAGAAACACAAAGAGACAGAUAAACAAAGAGAGAGAUGGGAAUAAGAGACGAGACAGAGAGGCCAUGAAGACAAUCACAACUUUUACCUUUGGACUGAAAUUACCUUCUUGUCUAUCUUCCAUCAGCUUGGACCUCCACUUCAAUUCAGGCCACUGGAACAACUUAACAUCAAGAAGGACAAGUGACAACAAUGGAUUAGCUCUGUGCCAUCAGGCGUCUCCUCCAGUGUUCAUUCAAAUCUGUAUUUCAACAAACCUGAAAAACUACGCAGGAUGGUGGUGCUGAGUGGCCCGUGGGCUGAUCUGGUUCUGUUCCUGAGACAAACGGUCACACAGCGAGAUAGAGACACAGACAGCUCUCUUGCUGUCUGGCUCUUUGUCCUGCUGCUGUUCCUGUCUGUCUCCCUGCUGCUGCUGCAACUGAUUAUCUACCUCAGCUGGAAACUCAGAGAGGGUAGGCAUAUGAUUAACUAGCCAUGUCCAGACCAUUUGCUACUUCAUACUUACAACGCUGGCUGUUGUGUGGAUACACGGAUGCUGUGUAGAGACGACUUUCUCCAGGACCACACAUAUUAUAAGUUAUUAUAAAUACUGUAUAUCUCCACACUGUAAGGAUUUCUCCAUAAAAAUCUACUCUGAUGGGGAAAUUUCACAGCUUGAUAUGAAAUGCUUUUCCAAUCACAUCAUUCUCUGUAUGAUACAAAAUACUGUUUCUGAAAAACUGGGCAGCUCAUGUCACUGUCCGGUAGAAAAAAUGUAAAUGGGCCCCAAAACUAAACUGCACUUUAAAUAAUAAUAAUAUCUAAAAUAGGCUGCAACAGAAAAAACACUCUGAAAACUAAGUCACAUUUUAGGAUAGUAAAAAAUAUUACAUUAUACAGUACAAGCAUAUGUACAGUACAAGUACAAGUACAGUAA